rnacentral:rRNA from 1 species
CGAAGGGGGCUAGCGUUGUUCGGAAUUACUGGGCGUAAAGCGUGCGCAGGCGGUUCUCCAAGUCAGUGGUGAAAGCCCGGAGCUCAACUCCGGAAUUGCCAUUGAAACUGUUGAACUUGAGUACGAGAGAGGUGAGUGGAAUUCCCAGUGUAGAGGUGAAAUUCGUAGAUAUUGGGAAGAACACCGGUGGCGAAGGCGGCUCACUGGCUCGUAACUGACGCUCAUGCACGACAGCGUGGGGAUCAAACAGGAUUAGAUACCCUGGUAGUCCACGCCGUAAACGAUGAACGCUAGCCGUUGGAUAGCUUGCUAUUCAGUGGCGCAGCUAACGCAUUAAGCGUUCCGCCUGGGGAGUACGGCCGCAGGUUG